GCCUGGGUGGCUCAGUCAGUUGGGCAUCUGACUUCCACUCAGGUCAUUAUCUCACGGUUUGUGAGUUCAAGCCCCACAUCGGGCU
rnacentral:tRNA from 1 species